ACAUCUCUUGUAUGGUUAAUCUUGCUAUUACCGCCUGUUGUUCUAUUUAUCGAAUAGGUUUAACAUACCAGAUUUGCUAUUUUUUCCCCUAAAUGCAGUAUAUUUUGUCAAAAGCUGAACUAUAAACUAAGAACGUUUUGUUGUUGUUCCCUGGAUUAAAGCUAAUUCUUUGGGUCCUUAUUUGAAUGUGAACAAGUCCUUCAAGUUCUUAAAUUCAGCUCUAUUUUGUCAAGUACUGCAUUAUAAAGUGGCUGUUGCUAUUCUGCUAUUUCAAAAUACUUAACAAUUUACUCCCUCCAAAACACCUUUUGCAUUAGUGCGACAUUUUUUUCAAGUGAAUCCAAAAUUUGUCAUUAUUAGUUACUCAGUGCUCAUCUCUAUGAUAUAUCAUAGCUUAUAACAACUAACUACAUUCUCAGUGCUCAUUAUUUUGUUUACCGUCAGAUGAUACAGUUUGAAUUUUAUCCUCAACCAACAUGGCCUCAUCUCUAUGAUAUAUCAUAGCUUGUAACAACUAACUACAUUCAACUUUAUAGUGACAGACUAUGUUGUGGGGGUCAGUUGAAUUGCAUUGAGAUAAUGCCAGCCUACUCCAUUUUUUAAGGAGAUGCCCUUUGGUGUGAAGACUCAUACUUCCACAAAUCUGACACAAUUUUUUGCUUCUUAUGGCCUCAUCUUUCGAAGAGUCCGGAGGAACUGAAUGAAUUUCCCAUGUGUACUGCAAACAUCUUUUGCCAUUGUUUAAUUCAAUAGGUGAAAUUUUGGUGUGUGCCCCAAUUGCACAUGUCCAAUCAAAUACAUGUAUUGAUAACAUGUGUAAGUGAUAAACUUCUUAAGCAUCGUCUCUUGCCUAUUCUGGUUACAUUAGAGGAAAUAUUUGAAUUGUAGUGUUUGUAACUAUAUGACCUCUAUAUAAGUAGAUAAAUCAACAAAACUUUGCGCUAAAAUAUGGAUGUUGCUCUUACAAAAAAUAAUAAUAUUAUCAAUGGAACAUGUUGGGCCGUGCAGAGCACGGCUUUCCUUAUCUAGUUUCUAUUAUUUAGAAGCAUGAUGACGACCAACGACCAGUGGCAAAAAGGAUAAUAAAUCAAAUAUACAAGGGCAAAUUAUAACUACUAUACUAAAAUUUAUUGAUAUUCGUGCACUCAUGCUCAGAAGUCAG
rnacentral:lncRNA from 1 species